AUUGAACGCUGGCGGCAUGCCUUACACAUGCAAGUCGAACGGUAACAGGUCUUCGGAUGCUGACGAGUGGCGAACGGGUGAGUAAUACAUCGGAACGUGCCCGAUCGUGGGGGAUAACGAAGCGAAAGCUUUGCUAAUACCGCAUAAGAUCUACGGAUGAAAGCAGGGGACCGCAAGGCCUUGCGCGAACGGAUCGGCCGAUGGCAGAUUAGGUAGUUGGUGGGAUAAAAGCUUAACAAGCCGACGAUCUGUAGCUGGGCUGAGAGGACGACCAGCCACACUGGGACUGAGACACGGCCCAGACUCCUACGGGAGGCAGCAGUGGGGAAUUUUGGACAAUGGGCGAAAGCCUGAUCCAGCCAUGCCGCGUGCAGGAUGAAGGCCUUCGGGUUGUAAACUGCUUUUGUACGGAACGAAAAGACUCUUUCUAAUAAAGAGGGUCCAUGACGGUACCGUAAGAAUAAGCACCGGCUAACUACGUGCCAGCAGCCGCAGUAAGAC
rnacentral:rRNA from 1 species